CUCGUUAACCUAUAAUUUUUGCAAACUAUCACGUUACAUAAAAGAAUUUAAUAUUUGACUUGGGCGGUAAUAACCGCCAUUACGAAUUUGUUCGCGAAGUGUCGGCGCUUAAAGAAAGAGUGAUUAGUAGGAGUAAAAAUAAAAAGCGCAUAGUUACAGCAUGUAACCUGUUGCUACUAAUAAUUAAGCGGUGUAUGCUUAACAUAAGCGGUUUCCCAAACGCCGUUAAAAUUACACGCUUCAUCAAAAGAGCCUGGUGGUUAACGAAGCUUUAAUCUCUGGAUAUUUCCCGUUACUGUAAAUACAGAUUUUAUAUAAUACAUUCACCGUUUUAUUUUUCGGUAAGGGGCGAUGAAACUUUUAAUCUCCAGGAAGAAAUCCGAGAAACCGAACCGGAUCCCAUGACACGCGAAUAAAAAACAAACUGCUUUAUCGACGAUGAAUAUACCCCGUUAGAUUUGUAUAUAAUGCCAAGUUGACGGCGCUUUGCUUCAGUGAAUGUCUCUUUUUAUCUUUUUUCCCUGUUCCAGAAUAUUGGUUUUAGGUUUCGUCUCUGUACACGUUCAUUUACCUUCCACGGAAACAAAGAAUGAUAAAUAUAGGACGCGACUGGCUCUAUAUUUCCUACGAAGCAACUGGUCGCUGAAAGAAACCAUGAGGGCAUUGUUUUUUGUGAAAGGUAUUCCGAUGUUCUAAAACAAUGAUAGUGAAGGGAACAUUGAAUCGGAUUAAACUGAACCGUGUCCAAUUAAGUCGCAUCGAAUUUUGUAAGCGUGUUUUGAUAUUCGAUACUCUGGCCAGUGAUCGGCUAAUGUCGGGUAAAGUCGAGUGGAUACGAACAAGUUUUUGCGAUGCAAAUUAAAAUUUUCUGCCCAUGCAUUUUCAAGCAAACAAUUUUGACAUUAAAUAUUAAUGAAUAAUGUUUGUAGGUGGCGCUAUAAAAACAUUUCAAUUGAAGGAUUCUGUAUAAAGUGAUAAAUAAUAGGGUAAGGAGCACAGGAGACCACAUUGCGGUUGUAACAGUACGAAGAUUUAAGAGCAACUAGACUGAACAGUCGUUAUUGGAGCAUUAAUAAAAAGCCACUCUGUUAUUGUUCUCCGAUAAAGCCACGACAGUUAUGCGAUUCAGCGUGGGCCUCGUAGUCCGAUUCGUGGAUCGAUAACGCGAAAUCUCGUUCACGUUUCUCCUGGGGCACUUUCCAUCUGCGUCAUGAGAAACCACUUUAUUUAUACUCAGAAAAUUCUUUUUCCAUCGCGGCCCACAAGUGGUGCUCGCGCGAGCUCGUUCACUAGCACAUUCCAAUAUGCAAGCGUAGGCUCCUUAUAUUUAUGUAUCCUUACCGACAGAGUACAAUUAUAAAAGUAGAGAGUAAAUGAUACUGAACACAGGAUCUCAGAUUCCAUCAAUAACCAAUUGGAGAAUACGAAUCAAAGGAUUACGAAAGAGUUAUUCGCAUAAGCUAUAAGUAUUCAUGAUAUGUACGCGCACGUGGUUCUUCAGGAUACCGGUCCGAGUGUCGUGAACUGUUACGCGGCCCGCAAUCAAUAUUAGCAUGUCCCAUACGUAGGAUGGUAUUUAUAAAAAAUAAUAUGGUAGAACGAGAAGACUACGUGGAAAAUUAGCGACGUUAAAAAAUAAUUUACUUACCAAACGUACCGAAACUAUUGAAGUAUCAAAAGAGCUAUUACUGAAAACGCUGACGCUAAAUAUGCUGGAGUAGGGGCUUGAAAGGUUUGAAAAGCUUUGCAGAAAGCAUCUCUGAUAAAGGUGCUCUAACUGAAAAUCGAGGCCAAGCUAGAGGGAGUGAUUUCCAUAGCUUUUGCAAUGAACCAACAAUAUAUCCCAGUCGCCUGGUGGCGAGCUGGUUGCCAGGCAGCGGGUUUCGUCCAGGUAAACCGCUCCUCUCGUUUCCUCUUUCGCUCGCUUGUGCCCCGUUGCCGAUACAAACGCUAUAUUACCAGUCUAUCGACGUUUGAUAUCGGUCGGCUGAGUUCAGCGGUGCGCAAACUCUCAGAAUACGGCCAAAACUAGUUCCAGAUACAGCAAUCGCUGUUAAACGGAAUCAAAAUAAUAUCCAGGUGUCCACUAUGCAAAUUCGCAACCUCAUUUUUUGCUACUCUAGAACUCUAAUCACUUACAAAUCUGUAUGCACGCUACGUUCAAAUUUUCAUGACUUUCUAGAAGUCAUUUGAUUAUAAACAUUGACACUAUUAGUAAAUCUGAUCCUACACAAAAAUUCAAAUUGUAAUGACUUUAUGAUUAUAAAACAGAACUGCAGUACAUGAGUCAUUAAUAACCAAAUUGUUCCAUGCAUUAAGCAUGCCAUUACCUAAUAGCAAAAAAAUUUCUAAUUCCUUCUUUUUGUUUUUUAGAAACCGAGGGAAACGAGUUGCGUGAAUCGUCAUUUAUUGAGUAACGAUUACGAAACGAUGCAGUGCAGAGAAAGAAAAUUUCUCCCUUGCAAGACGUUGCACGAUUUUUAGGUUGACGAGUGUGCAAGGUUUAUGAACGUUCCGUGAAAUUCUACGUUAGAAAAACGUCGAUUCCGGUUCGGAUACAGGUGCCGCUAUUACGAGAUUAAUAAGCGUGAUCGUAAAUUAUCGCGAGGCACGAUACGAGUUGCGCGCCACUGAUUUAAUGGACGGCAGUUGGCUGGUGUUGGUAAUCGCGGUGAAAAAUCUUCCCUUUGAACGAGGCUGAAUCCGCCGUAAUUUUGUCGUCAGCGACGCCAUCCGUGCCCUUUAAUUACGAUUCGCUCGUCGAUCCUGAAGAAUCGACGCGAAAAUGCGGUCCCGAAGAAAAACUUUUCAAGGUUCAACGACCUUUUUCCCUUGUGACGGCUUAGCCGGGAUUCGCGAAACUUUGGGGCUAUUUUUAGAUUUGUGGAAUGAAAUUUCAAGCUGAGUCUUGCUAUCCAUAAACAAGGAUAAUUAGGAUAAUGAUUAGACUACACAGGAUAAAGAUUAUACAGGUUAGUCUAAUUAUUUGUCUUCAAGGUCGUUCAUUUUUAACUUCUCAUGACUUCGAAACUUAUUAAUUUACUUUUACAAGUUUCAUUAAUUUAUUUUUACGAUAUAAACCAGUGAAUUGUAAAAUAAUUUGUGAAUUUGUUUUCAGUGGUCACCGCAGGUGAAAAUCAAUGAAUCAAGGUUCGCCUAUUUUCAAACGGAGAAGCAAAACUAGCUUAUUAGCGUACGAAAUAACGCCGCAAUGUACCGUAAGCCGACGGAGAGCCUUCACGCAUCGUGGAUCGAAGCGAACAGGACACGGAGAACAGGCACGAUCGAUUCGUGGCUCGUUACGGCGUCUGGUCGAAAGUUCGAACGAGCCCUGUGCAUUAAUAUUUCCGUUAUUGCGCGCACAAGCACCGAGGUUAUGCCUUUCACACAGCUAAACAAUCAUACUGAAAACGAUCGUUACUCUUUCAAUCAAUCACGAAAUCAAUUUCAACGAAUUAGCACCUUCAACGCUGUACUAAAGUUUCAAGCAAUUUUACCUCAGGCCUCUAUUAACUUAUUAUGAGUCAAGAUUUUAUUACACCGCCUGAAACCUUUGGGAUAUGAAAAUAUUUUCUAUUGAUCAGUUUGGAGAAGGUAGAAGGCCUCAAACAUUAACUGUAAUUUUACAUAAGAAUAGGUCAGAUACUUGUCACUGAUGUAAUUACUGAGAUCUUCAAGAUUAUGUACUAUGGUGAGCGCGUAAACUUCCGCAGAGUAAAUUAUGGUGUACGAGAAAAAAGUCCCACUUGUUGCUCUCUCGUUGAUAAAUUUUCUUGCAACUAAAUGUCUUGAAUAUUUGAUCAAGUGUGUAUAACAGUGUUGGACAUUUUUGUAAAGAGCGUAAUGACUCGUUAAUUACUCCAUGCAUUAUGCAUAGAAAUUCGAUCUCGAUUGCUCUGUCGUGUGAACUUGAAAUUCGAUACCUCAGAUUUCGUAACAGAGUAAGAUUGCUUUUUAUGGACCUGUACACUUUACAUUUAGAAUCAUAUUUUAUAAUUGAGAAAUGAAUUCUCAAACCAUCUACUUAAUUGCAAAGAUGUUUUAAUUUUUAAAUAGGCUUAACUACUAAAAAGUUGAUCAAAGGUUUUCUAUAAUCUGAUCAAUAAAUAUAGCUGAUCAAUGAAUAUGGUUGAUACGUAUAA